rnacentral:rRNA from 1 species
GACGAACGCUGGCGGCGUGCUUAACACAUGCAAGUCGAACGGAAAGGCCCUGCUUGCAGGGUAUUCGAGUGGCGAACGGGUGAGUAACACGUGGGUGAUCUGCCCUGCACUUCGGGAUAAGCCUGGGAAACUGGGUCUAAUACCGGAUAGGAGCCAUUUUUAGUGUGAUGGUUGGAAAGUUUUUUCGGUGUAGGAUGAGCUCGCGGCCUAUCAGCUUGUUGGUGGGGUAAUGGCCUACCAAGGCGGCGACGGGUAGCCGGCCUGAGAGGGUGGACGGCCACAUUGGGACUGAGAUACGGCCCAGACUCCUACGGGAGGCAGCAGGGGGGAAGAUUGCACAAUGGGCGCAAGCCUGAUGCAGCGACGCCGCGUGGGGGAUGACGGCCUUCGGGUUGUAAACUCCUUUCGCUAGGGACGAAGCUUUUUGUGACGGUACCUAGAUAAGAAGCACCGGCUAACUACGUG